CCAAGGAGCCCAGGGGCCAAAGUCCAGGCCGAGGGAGCGGUCGGUGAGAAGGCGCAGUGCAAGUUAGGAAAAAGAACACACGGUCUUGGCGGACGCCCGGGGUGUGUGUGUGGAGCGGCCCCAAAGAAUAUUAAAACCCAAAAGGAUCUUCGGAAACACCCUAUGAAGUUCGAACUUGAUUCUGUGAGCAAUGAGUAGCCCAUCCCCAACCAAGUGCCAAGGCAGGAGUCUUAAGGUUCUAUAACUAACUUUUAAACUGUGAGCAUACAUUAUUUUCAUAAAAAUGAAAAGUUUGAAAAUGCAAAUAACAUUUGGACGUGCAGACAGGAAGUAGAAGACUAUUCUAAGAUAAAUGGCAGAAAUGUGGAGGUGAAAAUCUUCCAGUAAAUGAUAAUGGUUAUCUCCCUAUCACUGUCAUCGCUGUUGAUUGUGAUAUCACUGCUACUCACAUUGCCACAGAGUAAUACAUUGUCUC